GUAAAUCAAAGUGUUGCUUCACAGCUUUCGUCGUCUUCUUCUCCAUCUUCCUCCUCGCCGAUUCAUUUCGAGGUUCGUGUGAUCUCCAUUUCCUUCUCAUUUCUUCAUUCUUUAGCGUUUUUCGUUUUAAGAUUGUUUGAUUAGUAGAGCUGUUAUUGUGCCCUGACUAAGAUGAGUGUCAGCUUUUAGCUUCCCCGAGGUUCCCGUUAGAAAGGGAGUUGAGGUUUUAUGCAAUUAUUGAUUUGAUCCGAUUUGGGUGAAUUGAAAUGGAAUGGUCAUCUGUGAGUAAACCUUGUGAGGAUGUUAGUCCUGAAUCUGGAAGCGCACUGAAAAGGCUUGUUAUACAAUCUAAUGAUAGAAAUUUCUUUAUCUUUUUAUCAAAUUGCUUUGUGCACGGGCCAAUGUUAAUGAAGCGCUUAGGGGACUGUGGCUCCAAAAAGAGUUGUUAAGACGUCAGCUUCUACAUCAACCUCUGCUGGAGGGACCAAGAGGACAAGAUAUGUCAAGCGUUGAAAAUGACUAAUCAGCAAAGCAGCCCAAGGAUACAUUUCUGAGAUCUUAAGAGUCAGUGGACAAGAAACGAAUAUCAAAGAUAUCCAAGGCCCAGCAUUAGCGCUUGUGGUUGCAAAAGUAAGACCAGGAUUUGUUCAAGAAUCGUUUGAAUCAUCAAAAGCUAUGGCGGGGGCAGUGUCAAAAGGUGUAAAAAGCGACUUCUAAUGGGUCCUUGAAGCAAGUAAACAGAUCUAGAGCCUUACAAACAAAGGGCUCAAGGCCGGAUCAAAUCCCGUUUGUCCAUGUUAUAGCUAUCCAGUCACAGUCUUUGCUCAAUACUAAGGACUCCAAAAGACAGGGAGAGGAUGGUGGUUCAUAGAAUUAAAUUUGAGGAGCUACGGCCAGGACAGAUUCAUGAUCUUGAGACCUGAAGAUGGCAGAACAAAGUGGUGACGUUUCUCAAAUAGUCCCUGGUCCUUUGUUUCCAAGGAGCAAGCCGAGACCCAACUGACUAAUCUUUGGAGACUUGUCCAUGGGCACCAAAUAGAAUCGGUUGCACGAAAGGGGAGUUAGACAUCUAUGUCGCAUGUCACCACAUAUGAGUAAUCUGAGUGUGAGGUUUCGAAUCCAGAUCCUUUAAGGACGUUCCGAUCCGCCUUCGCCACCCGGUCACAUCCGCGUAGUAUGUUACUUCAAUGUUUGGUAAGAAUAUUAUGUGGAUGUUUGAUUUUUUUCUAUCUCAACACCUUUCAGUCCAUGCAGUUGUGCUAAUUCUUGUUGCAGUUUAUGUAGCUCUUGAUUGUGCUAGCUAGCAUAUAAGACACAAAUUCAAAAUAUUUAGUUUAUUCUGUCUUCUCAAA